rnacentral:rRNA from 1 species
UACGAAGGGGGGCUAGCGUUGUUCGGAAUUACUGGGCGUAAAGCGCACGUAGGCGGAUACUUAAGUUAGGGGUGAAAUCCCAGGGCUCAACCCUGGAACUGCCUUUAAUACUGGGUAUCUCGAGUCCGAGAGAGGUGAGUGGAAUUCCGAGUGUAGAGGUGAAAUUCGUAGAUAUUCGGAGGAACACCAGUGGCGAAGGCGGCUCACUGGCUCGGUACUGACGCUGAGGUGCGAA